UUCGGGUUAGUUACGGUCAUGACAGCAUGAAGUUUGUUUUAUGGAACCGUGAGUGUGAACAAUUGAUCAAACAACCUGCAACUGAUCUUCGUGAAUUAUUGUUAUCGGUAUCAUUAACCUACUUCAUUGAACAUAUAUUUACUUAGUGUGCCUUCUCAAACUGUUACUUACUUUGCCUUUGUUAUAUGUGUAGGAGGGUGAACUAAACCCAAUGUCCAUUCCACAGGCUGUUGAUGACAUUGUUACAAAUGUAUUGGCAUUCAAAGUCAAAGUCCAACCAAACUACAAACGAUGUUCUGUUAUACAAGUUUCAGAUGACUCUCAACUUAUUGCAUGCUUAUUGGACAAAAUUACUCCAGAUGUGGUAUGUUUCUUUAUUAUUAUAAAAAGUUUGUUUCUAUGUAAGUUUAUUGUUUCUCACAAUAUGUGAGUGUAGAACACCAAGACUGAUGAGAAGGGGAAGUCUAUUGCUAACGUGGGCAAGGAGGAG
rnacentral:lncRNA from 1 species